AGGUGUGAGAGUAAUCUGAUCGUGACAUCUGUCACCCCAUUGAUUGCCAGAGUUGAUUCAGCUCAUCUGGCUGGCCAAGCGGGUGUCCCCUGCCUGCCUCCUGGCUCCAAGUGUGUCCCUCCCAAAAGCGUGCGACCUUCCUUCCCUGAUGGAGGAGCACCCUUCUUCGGGCAAGGGUAUGCGAGUAGCUGUGCUCCCCUGCUAGAACCUCCACACAAGUGUUUCAGGUCACAUGUUGUAUGACUGCACUGGUAGGAAAUAUGCAGGGGGGUCAAUCUACACAGGCAGCAGAU
rnacentral:snRNA from 1 species